AGGACGAACGCUGGCGGCGUGCUUAACACAUGCAAGUCGAGCGAGGCCCUUCCUUCGGGAAGGUGUCCUAGCGGCGAACGGGUGAGUAACACGUGGGCAACCUGCCCAUAGCUCUGGGAUAAGCGCUGGAAACGGCGUCUAAUACCGGAUAUGACACGGGACGGCAUCAUCUCCGUGUGGAAAGAAUUUCGGCUAUGGAUGGGCCCGCGGCCUAUCAGCUUGUUGGUGAGGUAAUGGCUCACCAAGGCUACGACGGGUAACCGGCCUGAGAGGGCGACCGGUCACACUGGGACUGAGACACGGCCCAGACUCCUACGGGAGGCAGCAGUGGGGAAUAUUGCACAAUGGGCGAAAGCCUGAUGCAGCGACGCCGCGUGAGGAUGAAUGCCUUCGGGUUGUAACCUCUUUCAGUAGGGACGAAGCGAAGUGACGGUACUGCAGAGAGCGCCGCACUACGUGCCAGCAGCCGCGGU
rnacentral:rRNA from 1 species